rnacentral:rRNA from 1 species
CCUACGGGAGGCAGCAGUAAGGAAUAUUGGUCAAUGGAGGCAACUCUGAACCAGCCAUGCCGCGUGCAGGAUGACGGCCCUAUGGGUUGUAAACUGCUUUUAUACAAGAGAAAACCCUGGUACGUGUACCAGGUUGAUAGUAUUGUAAGAAUAAGCAUCGGCUAACUUCGUGCCAGCAGCCGCGGUAAGACGAAGGAUGCAAGCGUUAUCCGGAUUCAUUGGGUUUAAAGGGUGCGUAGGCGGACUGAUAAGUCAGUGGUGAAAUCUCUUUGCUUAACAAAGAAACUGCCAUUGAUACUGUCGGUCUAGAGUAUAGAUGACGUUGGCGGAAUAUGACAUGUAGUGGUGAAAUACUUAGAUAUGUCAUAGAACACCGAUUGCGAAGGCAGCUAACGAAACUAUAACUGACGCUGAGGCACGAAAGUGCGGGGAUCAAACAGGAUUAGAUACCCUGGUAGUCCGCACCGUAAACGAUGAUUACUCGUUGUUGGCGAUAUGACAGUCAGCGACCAAGCGAAAGCGAUAAGUAAUCCACCUGGGGAGUACGCCGGCAACGGUGAAACUCAAAUGAAUUGAGG